rnacentral:rRNA from 1 species
CACAUGCAAGUCGAACGGAGAUUACAGGCGGAAGUUUUCGGAUGGAAGCUUGUAAACUUAGUGGCGGACGGGUGAGUAACACGUGAGCAACCUGCCUAUCAGAGGGGGAUAACGAUUGGAAACGAUCGCUAAUACCGCAUGACAUAGCGGAAUCGCAUGGUUCUGUUAUCAAAGAUUUUAUCGCUGAUAGAUGGGCUCGCGUCCGAUUAGAUAGUUGGUGGGGUAACGGCCUACCAAGUCGACGAUCGGUAGCCGGACUGAGAGGUCGAACGGCCACAUUGGGACUGAGACACGGCCCAGACUCCUACGGGAGGCAGCAGUGGGGGAUAUUGCACAAUGGGGGAAACCCUGAUGCAGCGACGCCGCGUGAGGGAAGACGGUCCUCUGGAUUGUAAACCUCUGUCUUCGGGGACGAAACGAGACGGUACCCGAGGAGGAAGCCACGGCUAACUACGUGCCAGCAGCCGCGGUAAUACGUAGGUGGCAAGCGUUGUCCGGAAUUACUGGGUGUAAAGGGAGCGUAGGCGGGCAGGCAAGUCAGGCGUGAAAUAUAUCGGCUCAACCGGUAACGGCGCUUGAAACUGCAGGUCUUGAGUGAAGUAGAGGUUGGCGGAAUUCCUAGUGUAGCGGUGAAAUGCGUAGAUAUUAGGAGGAACACCAGUGGCGAAGGCGGCCAACUGGGCUUUUACUGACGCUGAGGCUCGAAAGUGUGGGGAGCAAACAGGAUUAGAUACCCUG